GGAACCACCUGAUACUUCAGCUGAACUGCCGUACCACCCACCCUCCACUACCUAAGGGGUCUUUGGAUGGUCAGUUCCUUCUGUGGUCUCCAAGGAUGAGCCCUGACUGCAUUCUCAUUUCUCGGCAAUGCUGUUGUGGAAACCUCCAUGAGGGAACGUGGGAUUUUUCUCCCUGCUCAGCCCUGGAGCUGGUGCUGAUUCUGGCUCUCUCAGGCACUUGUCUGUCUCAGUUCAUGGACAGUUCAUGAGCUCCUUCAGUAUGCCCCCCCUCCUUCCUUCCCUCUCUGCCUGCUACAGACAGAGGAACCAGGGGAUCUCCCAGAGCAAAAACUCAGCUUCCUGCUGCUUUCCCCACAUUGAAACUGGUGUAAAUUAGGAGGAAAUGGAUCCGUCUAGGUUUUGAGUCC
rnacentral:lncRNA from 1 species